GAAGCACGGACCAAGGAGUCUAACAUGUGCGCGAGUCAUGGGGUGUUACGAAACCUAAAGGCGCAAUGAAAGUGAAGGCUCUCCUCCAGGUGAGCUGAGGUGGGAUCCCUGGGACCCCGGUCUCGGGGCGCACCACCGGCCCGUCUCGUCCGCAACGUUCGGUGAGGCGGAGCAAGAGCGUACACGUUGGGACCCGAAAGAUGGUGAACUAUGCCUGAGUAGGUUGAAGCCAGAGGAAACUCUGGUGGAGGACCGUAGCGAUUCUGACGUGCAAAUCGAUCGUCGAACUUGGGUAUAGGGGCGAAAGACUAACGAACCAUCUAGUAGCUGU
rnacentral:rRNA from 1 species